CAGCCGCCGCGGGAAUACGUAGGGUGCAAGCGUUAAUCGGAAUUACUGGGCGUAAAGCGCGCGUAGGUGGUUUGUUAAGUUGGAUGUGAAAGCCCCGGGCUCAACCUGGGAACUGCAUCCAAAACUGGCAAGCUAGAGUACGGUAGAGGGUGGUGGAAUUUCCUGUGUAGCGGUGAAAUGCGUAGAUAUAGGAAGGAACACCAGUGGCGAAGGCGACCACCUGGACUGAUACUGACACUGAGGUGCGAAAGCGUGGGGAGCAAACAGGAUUAGAUACCCGCGUAGUCCCUGUCUCUUAUAC
rnacentral:rRNA from 1 species